GAUGAACGCUGGCGGCGUGCCUAAUACAUGCAAGUCGAACGAAACUUCUUUAGCACCGAGUGCUUGCACUCACCGAUAAAGAGUUGAGUGGCGAACGGGUGAGUAACACGUGGGCAACCUGCCCAAAAGAGGGGGAUAACACUUGGAAACAGGUGCUAAUACCGCAUAACCAUAGUUACCGCAUGGUAACUAUGUAAAAGGUGGCUAUACUACCGCUUUUGGAUGGGCCCGCGGCGCAUUAGCUAGUUGGUAGGGUAAAGGCUUACCAAGGCAAUGAUGCGUAGCCGAAUUGAGAGGUUGAUCGGCCACAUUGGGACUGAGACACGGCCCAAACUCCUACGGGAGGCAGCAGUAGGGAAUCUUCGACAAUGGGCGAAAGCCUGAUGGAGCAACGCCGCGUGGGUGAAGAAGGUCUUCGGAUCGUAAAACCCUGUUGUUAGAGAAGAAAGUGCGUGAGAGUAACUGUUCACGUUUCGACGGUAUCUAACCAGAAAGCCACGGCUAACUACGUG
rnacentral:rRNA from 1 species